UUCGGCGGCCAUAGCGAGAGGGAAACGCCCGGUCACAUUCCGAACCCGGAAGCUAAGACUCUCUGCGCCGAUGGUACUGCAAGGGCGACUUUGUGGGAGAGUAGGACACCGCCGGAC
rnacentral:rRNA from 1 species